rnacentral:rRNA from 1 species
GAGUUUGAUCGUGGCUCAGAUUGAACGCUGGCGGCAUGCCUUACACAUGCAAGUCGAACGGCAGCAUGAUCUAGCUUGCUAGAUUGAUGGCGAGUGGCGAACGGGUGAGUAAUACAUCGGAACGUGCCCUGUAGUGGGGGAUAACUAGUCGAAAGAUUAGCUAAUACCGCAUACGACCUGAGGGUGAAAGUGGGGACCGCAAGGCCUCAUGCUAUAGGAGCGGCCGAUGUCUGAUUAGCUAGUUGGUGGGGUAAAGGCCCGACCAAGGCGACGAUCAGUAGCUGGUCUGAGAGGACGAUCAGCCACACUGGGACUGAGACACGGCCCAGACUCCUACGGGAGGCAGCAGUGGGGAAUUUUGGACAAUGGGCGAAAGCCUGAUCCAGCAAUGCCGCGUGUGUGAAGAAGGCCUCGG